rnacentral:lncRNA from 1 species
ACUCCACCGGGCGCGCCCGAGCCCUCCGCCGGAACUCGUUCCGCCUCCCCCACACAUCCUUCUCCAGGAAUGGAAGUGGGCGCUCAGACCUAACUACCUGAGAUCCUGCUGGCUGGGCCGCUACCCCUUAUCUCUUCGGGGUUCCAACUCCGACAGCCCCUCGCAACUAGAAUUCCCCUCUAACAAGGUCGCUCUGAGGGACUA